rnacentral:rRNA from 1 species
AUUGAACGCUGGCGGCAUGCUUUACACAUGCAAGUCGAACGGCAGCGCGGGGCAACCUGGCGGCGAGUGGCGAACGGGUGAGUAAUACAUCGGAACGUACCCAGAAGUGGGGGAUAACGUAGCGAAAGUUACGCUAAUACCGCAUACGGUCUACGGAAGAAAGUGGGGGACCUUCGGGCCUCAUGCUUUUGGAGCGGCCGAUGUCUGAUUAGCUAGUUGGUGAGGUAAAGGCUCACCAAGGCGACGAUAAGUAGCUGGUCUGAGAGGACGACCAUCCAAACUGGGACUGAGACACGGCCCAGACUCCUACGGGAGGCAGCAGUGGGGAAUUUUGGACAAUGGGCGCAAGCCUGAUCCAGCAAUGCCGCGUGAGUGAAGAAGGCCUUCGGGUUGUAAAGCUCUUUUGUCAGGGAAGAAACGGCCGGGGCUAAUACCUUUGGCUAAUGACGGUACCUGAGGAAUAAGCACCGGCUAACUACGUGCCAGCCGCCGCCGUAAUAC